CGACGGUGAGGGAUGAAGCUGGGGGCGCAAACCGGAUUAGAUACCCGGGUAGUCCCAGCAGUAAACGAUGCCAGCUAUGUGUUGCUGGAACCAUGGGUUCCAGCAGUGCCGAAGGAAGCCGUGAAGCUGGCCACCUGGGAAGUACGGUCGCAAGGCUGAAACUUAAAGGAAUUGGCGGGGGAGUACCACAACCGGUGGAGCCUGCGGUUUAAUUGGAUACAACGCCGGGAAUCUUACCGGAGGGGACAGCAGUAUGAAGGCCAGGCUAAAGACCUUGCCAGAUCAGCUGAGAGGAGGUGCAUGGCCGUCGCCAGUUCGUACCGUGAGGCAUCCUGCUUAGUCAGGCAACGAUCGAGACCCGCAGUCUUAUUUGCCAGCAUGCCCUUUGGGGUGUAUGGGUACAAUAAGACGACCGCCAGCGCUAAGCUGGAGGAAGGAGCGGGCUACGGUAGGUCAGCAUGCCCCGAAUCCUCCGGGAUACACGCGGGCUACAAUGGUCAGGACAAAAGGUACCGACCUCGAAAAG
rnacentral:rRNA from 1 species